CAGCACCACAAGUCCAUCAAACUGCAAAGGAAACUCUUGUGGCCAGUCCAGUACAGGCCCAUAUGGGGCCCACCUGCGUGCUCCAGCUCUUUCUCCUUCCCGUCACGCACGCUGGCCUCAGCCCCCAGCUCGCCGUCGGCUAGCACGACCACAGUGCCGCGGCGGCGCCGUCCCUUUUCUGUUUCUACGGUGGUAUGUGCACACACGGCAGCGCAUAGCACCCCUGCGAGCCGGAAUCUUCUCUUCUACAUACAGGUACGCCCAUGCGACAACUGCAGCACCAACCGCGACCCCAGCGGCAGUUCGCACCACCAAGGACUUUGGUUUACCCCUGGAUUUGCACGAGACAGCAGAGCGAGGUGGCGUGAAUCCCAGCUCCGAGAGCUUCUUGUGUGACUCUGCAUAGUCCCUGAAGAAGGCUUCUUCAUCCUGCGGAAGAUUAUUGACAAAAUGUUCGGUGAACAAACACGAAUUGUGUCAACUACCAUGUAAAGGCGCCUCAAGCACAAUAUCUUAUUAGAGCAGUUUGAUCAUUAACGGAAGAUGCAACUGAAUUGUUAUGCACCUUGGCAUAUAUUUCGAUGUAGCGACGGAAUUCAGGAUCUUCCACAAGAGCCUUGUCAGUAGGGAGCUUCAAGAGCCCUUCAGAGUCACCUUUCAGAAGCUCACUGCAUCAGGAACAAAUCGAUGGUUGGUCCACCAGUAACUUCGACGGCAACAACUCCGGCAAGCUGGUCCACCGUACACAGUUAAAUAUGGAGGAAAGAAGCAUGGCAGGUGUUACCAAGACUUCAGUUGAUCGGAGAAGUUUCAGACGCAGCAGGAGACAGAAGUAGUGACAGACCGAGAAGGUCGAUAGCAAUCUUGAUCCCUGCAUUUGCAGCGUGGCUGUAUUCCUGCGGGAACCUGACGGAGCCAUUGGGGCCGCCGGUCUUUGUCUUCUUGUCGUAAGUGCCAGCGUCAUGCCAUCUACAAGACAAUCACGGUUGGUGGUUUUGCAAGGAAA